rnacentral:rRNA from 1 species
UACGUAGGGUGCAAGCGUUAAUCGGAAUGACUGGGCGUAAAGGGUGCGCAGGCGGUCUGCUAAGACAGAGGUGAAAGCCCCGGGCUUAACCUGGGAAUGGCCUAUGUGACUGGCAGGCUGGAGGAUGGCAGAGGGAGGCGGAAUGCCACGCGUAGCAGUGAAAUGCGUAGAGAUGUGGCGGAACACCGAUGGCGAAGGCAGCCUCCUGGGCCAAUCCUGACGCUCAGGCACGAAAGCGUGGGGAGCAAACAGG